rnacentral:rRNA from 1 species
CCUACGGGCGGCAGCAGUGGGGGAUAUUGCACAAUGGGGGAAACCCUGAUGCAGCGACGCCGCGUGGGUGAAGAAGUAUUUCGGUAUGUAAAGCCCUAUCAUCAGGGAAGAAAGAAGACGGUACCUGACUAAGAAGCCCCAGCUAACUACGUGCCAGCAGCCGCGGUAAUACGUAGGGGGCGAGCGUUAUCCGGAUUCACUGGGUGUAAAGGGUGCGUAGACGGCCGUGCAAGCCAGGAGUGAAAGCCCGGGGCCGAACCGCGGGACUGCUCUUGGAACUGUGCGGCUAGAGUGCGGAAGGGGCAGGCGGAAUUCGUGGUGUAGCGGUGAAAUGCGUAGAUAUCAAGAGGAAUACCCAUUGCGAAGGCGACCUGCUAGAACAUAACUGACGCUGAUGCGCGAAAGCGUGGGGAGCAAACAGGAUUAGAUACCCGGGUAGUC